rnacentral:rRNA from 1 species
GACGAACGCUGGCGGCGUGCUUAACACAUGCAAGUCGAACGGAAAGGCCCUGCUUUUGUGGGGUGCUCGAGUGGCGAACGGGUGAGUAACACGUGAGUAACCUGCCCUUGACUUUGGGAUAACUUCAGGAAACUGGGGCUAAUACCGGAUAGGAGCUCCUGCUGCAUGGUGGGGGUUGGAAAGUUUCGGCGGUUGGGGAUGGACUCGCGGCUUAUCAGCUUGUUGGUGGGGUAGUGGCUUACCAAGGCUUUGACGGGUAGCCGGCCUGAGAGGGUGACCGGCCACAUUGGGACUGCGAUACGGCCCAGACUCCUACGGGAGGCAGCAGUGGGGAAUAUUGCACAAUGGGCGGAAGCCUGAUGCAGCAACGCCGCGUGCGGGAUGACGGCCUUCGGGUUGCAAACCGCUUUCGCCUGUGACGAAGCGUGAGUGACGGUAAUGGGUAAAGAAGCACCGGCUAACUACGUG